AGAGUUUGAUCCUGGCUCAGGAUGAACGCUGGCGGUAUGCUUAACACAUGCAAGUCGAACGGAGUACUUCGGUACUUAGUGGCGGACGGGUGAGUAACGCGUGAGAAUCUGCCUUCAGGUUCGGGACAACCACUGGAAACGGUGGCUAAUACCGAAUGUGCAGCAAUGUGAAAAAUUUAUUGCCUGAAGAUGAGCUCGCGUCUGAUUAGCUAGUAGGUGUGGUAAGAGCGCACCUAGGCGACGAUCAGUAGCUGGUCUGAGAGGAUGAUCAGCCACACUGGGACUGAGACACGGCCCAGACUCCUACGGGAGGCAGCAGUGGGGAAUUUUCCGCAAUGGGCGAAAGCCUGACGGAGCAAUACCGCGUGAGGGAGGAAGGCUCUUGGGUUGUAAACCUCUUUUCUCAAGGAAGAAAAAAAUGACGGUACUUGAGGAAUAAGCAUCGGCUAACUCCGUGCCAGCAGCCGCGGUAAUACGGAGGAUGCAAGCGUUAUCCGGAAUGAUUGGGCGUAAAGCGUCCGCAGGUGGCUAUGUAAGUCUGCUGUUAAAGAGUCUGGCUCAACCAGAUAAAGGCAGUGGAAACUACAUGGCUAGAGUGCGUUCGGGGCAGAGGGAAUUCCUGGUGUAGCGGUGAAAUGCGUAGAGAUCAGGAAGAACACCGGUGGCGAAAGCGCUCUGCUAGGCCGCAACUGACACUGAGGGACGAAAGCUAGGGGAGCGAAUGGGAUUAGAUACCCCUGUAGUCC
rnacentral:rRNA from 1 species